AGUGAACGCUGGCGGCAGGCCUAACACAUGCAAGUCGAACGGAAGAACGGUGCUUGCUUGUGGUUUCAGCGGCGGACGGGUGAGCAGUGCCUAGGAAUCUCCCUGGCAGUGCUUUAUAACGUCCGCAAACAGGCGCUAAUACCGCAUACGUCCUGAGGCAGCAAGGGGGGGAGCUUCGGACCUUACGCUAUCAUAUGAGUCUAGGUCGGACUAGCUAGUUGGUGGGGUAAAGGGCUACCAAGCCAACGAUCCGUAGCUGGUCUGAGAGGAUGAUCAGUCACACUGGAACUGAGACACGGUCCAGACUCCUACGGGAGGCAGCAGUGGGGAAUAUUGGACAAUGGGCGGAAGCCUGAUCCAGCCAUGCCGCGUGUGUGAAGAAGGUCUUCGGGUUGUAAAGCCCUUUUAGUUGGGAGGAAAAGCAGUAGGUUAAUACCUCGCUGUUCUGACGGUACCGAGAGAAUAAGCACCGGCUAACUUCGUG
rnacentral:rRNA from 1 species